CACGUAGGAGGCGAGCGUUGUCCGGAAUUAUUGGGCGUAAAGAGCUUGUAGGCGGUUUGUCGCGUCUGCCGUGAAAUUUCGGGGCUCAACCCCGAACUUGCGGUGGGUACGGGCAGACUAGAGUGUGGUAGGGGAGACUGGAAUUCCUGGUGUAGCGGUGAAAUGCGCAGAUAUCAGGAGGAACACCGAUGGCGAAGGCAGGUCUCUGGGCCACUACUGACGCUGAGAAGCGAAAGCUAGGGGAGCAAACAGG
rnacentral:rRNA from 1 species